CAAGAUUUUGAUGCAGUCAUGAACAAGGGGUUCUUCCAUGGAUACUCCUUGAUUACAGUUCUCAUGAUUCUCAAUCAUGCACUCAGUGGCAUUGCUGUAUCCAUGGUAAUGAAGUAUGCGGACAACAUUGUAAAGGUCUAUGCUACUUCAGUGGCGAUGCUUCUCACAGCAAUUGUGUCUGUGUUUCUAUUUGGCUUUCAUCUAUCCCUUGCUUUCUUCCUCGGCUCAACUGUUGUCUCUGUCUCCGUUUAUCUGCACUCCAUCGGCAAGUUAACAAGACAACGAUAGUGACUUCUUAUGAUCUCUGCGAAAUCCAGUGUAAAAGUUUCUACUAAAUUUUUUUUGUUCUUAAUUUUUUUCCCCUACACAGUUGUCUUGUGUACUCAAAUGGGUAUACCCAAGAUA
rnacentral:misc_RNA from 1 species